CUGGGCGGGCGACCGCCUGG
rnacentral:misc_RNA from 1 species